GCCGCGGUAAUACAGAGGGUGCAAGCGUUAAUCGGAAUUACUGGGCGUAAAGCGCGCGUAGGUGGUUUGUUAAGUUGAAUGUGAAAUCCCCGGGCUCAACCUGGGAACUGCAUCCAAAACUGGCAAGCUAGAGUAUGGUAGAGGGUAGUGGAAUUUCCUGUGUAGCGGUGAAAUGCGUAGAUAUAGGAAGGAACACCAGUGGCGAAGGCGACUACCU
rnacentral:rRNA from 1 species